AGAAAAUGGCCCCAUUAAAUGUAUGCGUAUCUACACAUACAUUACUCAAAAAAUGAGAUUCAUUAAUUUCAUUUGUACCUCAUGCAUGUGAUAUUUACACUCAUACCUUGUAUAAGUCUCGCAUAUACUUCAUAUUUGCGCUGUUCAUUAGAAGCAAAUCUCGCAUUUAUACUUGAAAUUGCUGGCAGCAAAACAACAUGGUGGUCGAUGAUCCAGAGUUUGAAUACGUGAGCGUGUUUUUUUGGAUUCUAAGAUAUCACUUUGGGAAAAGGGUCACUUCAAAUGUUGUUUGGUAGCGGUAGUUUCCCUGGAAUAACAUGGAUCAAUAGAAGCGGAUCGAUGUUGCGAUGUUCCUGUUUCGUAGCAGUCAUAUGACAACAUUUUGUACUCAAAUCUAAGAUCGUAUAUAAAACAUUGAGCCCCGGCGGAUGCAGCGAAUUGACCAGCGAAGCAGUAGCGGCUUAAGUGUACCAACAGUUUGAAGUACCCGAUGAUAAAAUUCUCCACUGGCCUUUGAGUGGUAUUUAAUUCAUGUCUCGAAUCCGAAAAGCCAAUAAAAUUUUUCCACGUGGUUUCAUGUCUUGUCAUGUCAAGUUGAAGUCAUGACCGGUUGGGUAGAUAUCUCAGCCGGCAUAUGGCCUGUUUCAAAAGAUAUUUUAGUUACUAGAUAAAGAUUGUCGCUGUCGUCGCUGUCAGGAACAUCUUUUGCUGGCGAGGAUAGGGGAGCUAAAUGUCAAAGAAGGAAAAUCCAUACGAUUUGACAGCUUGGUACCCAACAUGUUCCGGACAGCAGAACAAAGGGAACCGAAGCGACAAUCUUUAUCUAGUAACUAAAAUAUGUUUUCCUGUUUCGCAUACGAUGUAUUGAAAUAGUUAAUUGGAGUGAUUUUUCAAAAUAAAAACUGUUUCACUAGAUUAUGGUUGUUUAUUAAAGAAACAAAAAUGAAAAAUUCAGCUCGAAUGAACACGAAAAUCCAACGAUAAGAAUAAUUUGCUUUUCAAAUAUAUCCUAUGAACAAUGCUUUUAAAAAG